CCCUUCCCCAACACUCCUUCCCCUGGCGAUCCCCCUCGUUUACAGGGAUUUGAGAAGCACCUGUGGCUAGAGAAGACAAUGUGCUUCAGUCCAAAUCCCCUCACAUGUCUGAUGGUUGAUCAGUCUCCUUUUAUUUGAGCUCUGAAGAGCAAUGGGCAAGCCCUUUGGACCUUCUAAAGUCCAUCAUCAUCACUAAGCAGCAGAGCUACAUGACAAGGAAAUAAAGCACCUUAAUCCCCACUCUA